AAUCUUCCACAAUGGACGGAAGUCUGAUGGAGCAACGCCGCGUGAGCGAAGAAGGUUUUCGGAUCGUAAAGCUCUGUUGUAAGGGAAGAACACGUACGGGAGUCACUGCCUGUACCUUGACGGUACCUUAACAGAAAGCCACUGCUAACUACGUGCCAGCAGCCGCGGUAAUACGUAGGGGGCAAGCGUUGUCCGGAAUUAUUGGGGGUAAAGCGCGCGCAGGCCGUCCUGUAAGGCUGAUGUGAAAGCCCACGGCUCAACCGUGGAGGGUCAUUGGAAACUGGAGGACUUGAGUGCAGAAGAGGAAAGCGGAAUUCCACGUGUAGCGGUGAAAUGCGUAGAGAUGUGGAGGAACACCAGUGGCGAAGGCGGCUUUCUGGUCUGUAACUGACGCUGAGGCGCGAAAGCGUGGGGAGCAAACA
rnacentral:rRNA from 1 species